rnacentral:rRNA from 1 species
CCUGGAGACUCCUACGGGAGGCAGCAGUGGGGAAUAUUGCGCAAUGGGGGCAACCCUGACGCAGCCAUGCCGCGUGAAUGAAGAAGGCCUUCGGGUUGUAAAGUUCUUUCGGUGACGAGGAAGGUUGUUGUGUUAAUAGCGCAACAAAUUGACGUUAAUCACAGAAGAAGCACCGGCUAACUCCGUGCCAGCAGCCGCGGUAAUACGGAGGGUGCGAGCGUUAAUCGGAAUAACUGGGCGUAAAGGGCACGCAGGCGGCUAUUUAAGUGAGGUGUGAAAUCCCCGGGCUUAACCUGGGAAUUGCAUUUCAGACUGGGUAGCUAGAGUACUUUAGGGAGGGGUAGAAUUCCACGUGUAGCGGUGAAAUGCGUAGAGAUGUGGAGGAAUACCGAAGGCGAAGGCAGCCCCUUGGGAAUGUACUGACGCUCAUGUGCGAAAGCGUGGGGAGCAAACAGGAUUAGAUACCCUUGUAGUCCUAG